AAAUGAAUAAUUUUUUACAUAUCUGUCUUUUUUUUUAUAUAUGCGUUCAAUAUAAGUGUUAUCGCUAGUAUAUAGUUAUUUUGGAUUUUGUUGCAUUUUUUAUUGUUAUAAUUAUCUAUUAUAUUUACUAAAAAUCAAUAUUCGUCUUCAAUUUUUGAUACCAUAUUAAACAUGUUAACAUUUAAUGACGUAAACGUAUACAUUAUUGAGAUUUUCUUUUAUGGCGGAUGACGUGAACGGCACGUCAUAAAUUCUUCUAAAAAAUGUUCCAAACAAAUAACUUUCCAGUCGUUCCAAAAAGAAAAAGAAGUGACGAUGAUAUUCCUUUAUCAAAUUCUCAAUCAUCGACAUUUGAUAAUACAAAUAUAAAAAAUGUCAAGAAGUUUCUGUCAGAAAAAACAAUGGUGAUAUUUUUUUAGAUACAGAUAGUGAUAAUAAUUCGGAUUUUGAUUGUUUUAUGACAGAUGUUUCACAAGAAGAAAGUGAAGAAAGUGAUCAAGAAAUAUUUUUCUCUCGAUCUACUUCAUCUUAAUUUAAAUCAGAACAAUCCAAGCUAUCAGAUCCAUUAUACAAAAUUCGGCCACUUCUUGAUCAUUUUAAUAAUACAAUGCGAGAAAUUUAUUAUCCUCAAAAAAAUUUAAGUUUACAUGAACCUAUGUCAUUAUGGAAAAAUAGUUUAUAAUUUCAUCAAUAUGUAAACAAUUGUAAACAAAAAAUCAUAUAAAUUUAGAUUAAAAUUUAUAUGCUGAUGGAACCUAAUGGACUUGUAUUGCGUAAUUUAAUUUAUUGUGGUUCACAAGAUCCUGAUAUUGGAGGAAUUGAAUAUACAGAAAAAAUUGUAAAAAUGCUGCUUAUGGAUUUUUUGGGAAAGGGACAUUCAAUUUUUUUUGAUAAAUAUUAUACAAGCAUAUCAUUAGUUAGAGAAUUGUUAUAUAAUAAUACUUAUUCAACUGAUACAUUAAGUUCAAAUAGAAAAAGUAAUCCUCUCAAUAUUAUACGAAAAAAGUUAAAAAAGAUGAAGUAGAAGCAUAUUAUACUCCUGAAGGUAUAUGUAUUCUAAAAUUGCAUGACAAGCGAGAUAUAAUAAUGAUUUCAUCUGAAUAUAAACCAGAUCUCAUAAAUUUAACAAUAAAGAAUGGUAAAAAAAUACAAAAACCAGAGAUGGUAGAUAAAUAUAAUGAUUGUAUGAGUGGAAUUGAUCAUGCCAAUCAAUUUUUAACCUAUUAUCCAUGUGAGAAAAAAACAAUUUGAUGGUAUGUGAAAGUAGCUUUACAUAUAUUUCACGUUAUUAUGAAUAAUGCGUAUUUAUUACAUCGACAAAAUGCAUGACAAAAGAUGACAUUUUUAAAAUUUAGAAAAGCAUCAUGAAUGAAUUUAUUUAUAAGAAUAAGUCCCGUUUACAUGCAAUCUACAAACCAAUGAGAAACAAUGUUCAUUUGCCAACAAUAUCAGGCCAGGGAGGAGAGAAGAAAAUAUGUAAAAGGUGUAAAAUCUGCUACGUUAAAAGUAUAAGAAAAGAAGGAUUAUUUUAUUGUCCAAUGUGUCCAGAUAAACCAGGUCUCUGUUUUGAUAAAUGCUUUGCGGAAUAUCAUAACUAUACGUAACUAUACAUAAUAUAAACAUGCGUAAUAUAUUAAUUUUAUAAUAUUUCUAAGCAUUUCCAUAAUUAUAUGAAUUAACCCUUUGCACUCCAGGCCUGUUUCGAUCGGCCGAACUAGCAAUUCCAGACUCAGACUCGCGCAUUCGAUGCGUUUGGUGGCCUCAUAAGAUUACCAUAAGAUAAUCAUUCAUAAGAUAAAAGUACACCUCAUAAAAUUAUAUGUAAGAGUUUAGGAACCUAUUUAUGAAGCGAUAUUCUAAAAAAAUCAAACAUAAAUAAAUAUUGUCGCCGUUCAAGUUGCCGCAAUAAUCCCAGUGGUGCCGGAGAGUCACUGCUGGAAGAGUCACUACGGCAUUAACUCAAGUGGUGAGCAAGAGUCACCGUUGGAGAGCAAAGGAUUAACAAAUAAAUAAAAUAUUAAUAUAUAUAAUAUAUAAAUAUAUAUUAAACAUAUAUUAAAUAUGAAUAUGUUAAACAAACAAAACUUCAUAAUAACAAUAAUAAAUAAUAACAA